UCAUAUGUUACUGUGGUGACUUAUUUUUUUCAAGCAGGAGGAAGACCAUCCCAAGUGGUCUAUCUAGGGAGUGGGCUUCGACGAAGAGACCCCUUUUUCCUUAUUUGUUCAUCUUAUGCAUAGAAACAUUCUCAACUAUGUUAAGGAGAGCCUAGGGGGAUUAUAGAAAUUAUGGGUUGAAAAUUGCAAUAGUAGUUUCUCU
rnacentral:lncRNA from 1 species